rnacentral:rRNA from 1 species
AGCGAACGCUGGCGGCAGGCUUAACACAUGCAAGUCGAGGGGAGCGGCAGACGGGUGAGUAACGCGUGGGAACGUACCUUUUGGUUCGGAACAACACAGGGAAACUUGGGCUAAUACCGGAUACCGAAAGUUCGGCCCGCGUCUGAUUAGCUAGUUGGUAGCGUAAUGGCCUACCAAGGCGACGAUCAGUAGCUGGUCUGAGAGGAUGAUCAGACACAUUGGGACUGGGACACGGCGCAGAAUCCUGCGGUAGGCGGCAGUGGGGGAUACAGGACAAUGGGGGCAAUCCUGAUCCAGCCAUGCCGGGUGAGUAAUGAAGGUCCUAGGGUUGUAAAGCUCGUUUGUGCCGGAAGCGGUACCGAAAGAAUAAGCCCCGGCUAACUUCGUGCCAGCAGCCGCGGUAAUAC